rnacentral:rRNA from 1 species
GACGAACGCUGGCGGCGUGCUUAACACAUGCAAGUCGAACGGAAAGGCCCUGCUUUUGUUGUUUUCUCGUGUGUCGCACGGGUGAGUAACACGUGAGUAACCUCCCCUUUACUUUGGGAUAACUUCAUUAAACUGGGUCUCAUACCGGAUAUGAGCUCCUGCUGCAUGUUUGGUUUUGUAAAGUUUCGGCGGUUGGGGAUGGACUCGCGGCUUAGCAUCUUGUUGGUGGGGUUGUGGCUUACCAAGGCUUUGACGGGUAGCCGGACUGGGAGGGUGACCGGCCACAGAGGGACUGAGGAGGGAGCAAGAGGCAUACGGGGGGAAGGGGGGGAAAACAUUGCGAAAUGGGCGGAAGCAUGAUGGAGGGACGUCGGGUGGGGGAUGACGGCCGUAAGGUUGUAAACCGCUUUAGCCUGGGACGAAGAGUGAGUGACGGUAAUGGGUAAAGAAGCAACGGCUAACUACGUG